rnacentral:rRNA from 1 species
CAAGAGCGUAUGUAAAAGUUGUUGCGGUUAAAAAGCUCGUAGUUGAACCUUGGGUUUGGUUGGCCGGUCCGCUUUUUUGCGAGUACUGGAUUCAACCGAGCCUUUCCUUCUGGCUAACCAGUCGUUUCGGCGGCUGGCGAACCAGGAUUUUUACUUUGAGAAAAUUAGAGUGUUCAAAGCAGGCAUUAGCUUGAAUAUAUUAGCAUGGAAUAAUAGAAUAGGACGUUAUGGUUCUAUUUUGUUGGUUUCUAGGACCAUCGUAAUGAUUAAUAGGGACGGUCGGGGGCAUCAGUAUUCAGUUGUCAGAGGUGAAAUUCUUGGAUUUACUGAAGACUAACUACUGCGAAAGCAUUUGCCAAGGACGUUUUCAUUAA